AACGAACGCUGGCGGCAGGCUUAACACAUGCAAGUCGAACGGUUGUAGCAAUACAGCAGUGGCAGACGGGUGAGUAACACGUGGGAACCUUCCUAGAGGUACGGAACAACUCAGGGAAACUUGAGCCAAUACCGUAUAAGCUCUUGUGAGGAAAGAUUUAUCGCCUUUAGACGGGCCCGCGUAGGAUUAGCUAGUUGGUGGGGUAACGGCCUACCAAGGCGACGAUCCUUAGCUGAUCUGAGAGGAUGAUCAGCCACACUGGGACUGAGACACGGCCCAGACUCCUACGGGAGGCAGCAGUGGGGAAUCUUGGACAAUGGGCGCAAGCCUGAUCCAGCCAUGCCGCGUGAGUGAAGAAGGCCUUAGGGUUGUAAAGCUCUUUUACCAGGGAAGAUAAUGACGGUACCUGGAGAAUAAGCCCCGGCAAACUUCGUGCCAGCCGCCGCCGUAACAC
rnacentral:rRNA from 1 species